rnacentral:rRNA from 1 species
CUCUCCCUCUGUCGGCAGGCCUAACACAUGCAAGUCGAGCGGAUGAAGGGAGCUUGCUCCUGGAUUCAGCGGCGGACGGGUGAGUAAUGCCUAGGAAUCUGCCUGGUAGUGGGGGAUAACGUCCGGAAACGGGCGCUAAUACCGCAUACGUCCUGAGGGAGAAAGUGGGGGAUCUUCGGACCUCACGCUAUCAGAUGAGCCUAGGUCGGAUUAGCUAGUUGGUGGGGUAAAGGCCUACCAAGGCGACGAUCCGUAACUGGUCUGAGAGGAUGAUCAGUCACACUGGAACUGAGACACGGUCCAGACUCCUACGGGAGGCAGCAGUGGGGAAUAUUGGACAAUGGGCGAAAGCCUGAUCCAGCCAUGCCGCGUGUGUGAAGAAGGUCUUCGGAUUGUAAAGCACUUUAAGUUGGGAGGAAGGGCAGUAAGUUAAUACCUUGCUGUUUUGACGUUACCAACAGAAUAAGCACCGGCUAACUUCGUG